AGGACGAACGCUGGCGGCGUGCCUAAAACAUGCAAGUCGAACGAGGUAGCAAUACCUAGUGGCGAACGGCGGAGUAAUACAUAAACAACGUGCCCCGAAGACUGGGAUAUACAGCUGAAAAGCUGGGCAAUACCGGAUGUGGCAGCGUCUCGGCAUCGAGAUGCUAUCAAAUGGUUUUUCGCUUUGGGAGCGGUUUAUGGCCUAUCAGGUAGUUGGUGGGGUAAUGGCCUACCAAGCCGACGACGGGUAGCGGGUCUGAGAGGAUGAUCCGCUCGAGUGGGACUGAGACACGGCCCACACACCUACGGGUGGCAGCAGUUGGGAAUCUUGCACAAUGGGGGAAACCCUGAUGCAGCGACGCCGCGUGGAGGAUGACGGAUCUAGGUCUGUAAACUCCUUUUCAUGGAAAGACUUAGGACGGUACCAUGAGAAUAAGGACCGGCUAACUACGCGCCAGCAGCCGC
rnacentral:rRNA from 1 species